CCUACGGGAGGCUGCAGUGGGGAAUAUUGGACAAUGGGGGGAACCCUGAUCCAGCCAUGCCGCGUGUGUGAAGAAGGCCCUCGGGUUGUAAAGCACUUUCAGUGAGGAAGAACGCCUGGUGGUUAAUACCCAUCAGGAAGGACAUCACUCACAGAAGAAGCACCGGCUAACUCCGUGCCAGCAGCCGCGGUAAUACGGAGGGUGCGAGCGUUAAUCGGAAUUACUGGGCGUAAAGCGCGCGUAGGUGGCUUGAUAAGCCGGUUGUGAAAGCCCCGGGCUCAACCUGGGAACGGCAUCCGGAACUGUCAAGCUAGAGUGCAGGAGAGGAAGGUAGAAUUCCCGGUGUAGCGGUGAAAUGCGUAGAGAUCGGGAGGAAUACCAGUGGCGAAGGCGGCCUUCUGGACUGACACUGACACUGAGGUGCGAAAGCGUGGGUAGCAAACAGGAUUAGAUACCCUUGUAGUC
rnacentral:rRNA from 1 species